GACGAACGCUGGCGGCGUGCUUAACACAUGCAAGUCGAACGGAAAGGCCCUGCUUUUGUGGGGUGCUCGAGUGGCGAACGGGUGGGUAACACGUGAGUAACCUGCCCUUGACUUUGGGAUAACUUCAGGAAACUGGGGCUAAUACUGGAUAGGAGCUCCUGCUGCAUGGUGGGGGUUGGAAAGUUUCGGCGGUUGUGGAUGGACUCGCGGCUUAUCAGCUUGUUAGUGGGGGAGUGGCUUACGAAGGCUUUGACGGGUAGCCGGCAUGAGAGGGUGAACGGCGACAUGGCUACUGCGAGACGCACCAGACUCCAACGUGGGGCAACAGGGGGGAAUAUUGCACAACCGUCGGACGCGUGAUGCAGCAACGCUGCGUGCGUGAUGACGGCCUUUGGGUUGUAAACCGCUUUCGCCUGUGACGAAGCGUGAGUGACGGUAACGGGUAAAGAAGCACCGGCUAACUACGUG
rnacentral:rRNA from 1 species